rnacentral:sRNA from 1 species
AAGCUGUUACUGUGUAUUGCCAGAUUGGUGUACAGAUCGAAUUAGUAGCGAUUGAAAAAUGAAUUUUGUUAGCAAUUUAUUCAGCAAGGUCAAAGACGUUGUGAGCCCAGCCAUUGCAGUAAUUCCGCCGGGCAUGACUGGGGAUUUCGUUGGGAUUUUGGGCCGGGAAAUGUAUAGUUGCGUUGGAGGCUAUCAUCUUCCCAAUUUUGUCGCCUACGCUGGAUUCUCUUAUGUGAUGUUUUACAUGGACUUGAUGAAAAGACUUGGUAUAGAUGCUCGCACUCUAUGGAAGUAUAUGAAUAAAACGAAUGUCACUCCAUUCAAGCGGGUACCCUUACUCCCAUACCGAUCCCCCGAUAUGCCCCCGCGCAUCUUGGAGCGAUGGGGGAGGCUGGUUUGGGACAUGGAGAACAUAUAUGGAAAGGAGAGAGACGAAGAGGGCAAUGUAAUCCUCCCCAGAGCCACCCAAAGGUCUAAUCUAAAGAAGGGGAAGAUGGAGUCAGCGGGGCGGCUACCAAGGCAUCAAACGGGUCAAUUUCUGUGUAAAAGAAGGCCACCCCUGGGAUCAACAGCCACCUGUACCGCGGCCGACAAUUGAAGAGCUGCGCGCUCAGUGGAUCGAGGAAAACGAGGCGCAAUGGGAGAAAGACGAGAUAGAAAGAUUGUUGGAGAUGGAGAAGGAGGAGAAUGAUAGAAAGAGUGCCGAAAUUUAGAUUUAAACCCGUAUGGAAUUUCAUUUUUUUUUUAUUUACGGAGCGCUCUUUUAUUUUAUUUUAGUUUUUUGUGGGUUUUUUUCUCAUUUUUUAAAGAAAGGCGAAUUAGUUUUGGAAAGUUAAUUAUACG